CGAGAAGAAAGGGUAGGUUACUAGAUAAGAAAUCUCUCUCUAAAAAUCACUAUACCCAGAGAUCCACUUUUGUUAGGAAUUGUUAUCCUACAAGUGAAAUUGAUUGACGUUAUAUAAUUUAAAGUAUCCUGAAACUAUACAGAUUCAUUAACAAUGCUCACCUAUUUUGAUGCGCCAGAGGGACAAGAUCUGCCCGGAAAACUUAAAUCAUGUCACACGUUAGGAUUUUAUUUGGGUAUCACAGCUGGUGCAACAGAUGCAUUUUUGUAUUCUGAAUGCAAAACACUUAGCCAUGUUUUACAGCGUAUGGCAUUUCAUUUCGUACCAAUAUAUGCUGGUGCUAUGACUUUUGGAUCUGUUGCGUUUAUAGUAGCACGUCAUAGAGGAAAGGGUGAUGGGAUGGAACAUUCUUUGGGUGCGCUUGCUACUGCUCCAAUAAUACAUGCUUGGCUUAGACUACCAUUUAUGUAUACUUGUCAAGCAGUAGCAGGCUUGGCCUUGCUUGCAGCUUUUAACAAAACUUUCAGAAUGGAUUUCCCAGAUUUUCACAGGAGAAAGCCAACCCCUAUAUCUUUUCCGACAUAUAGGUGGUCAUAAUAAAAAGAAAACAGGGCUUCAGCAAUUUAUUUAAAAUACUGUAGGAUUUGUGAUUAAAAUAUAUGAUUACACAUGA